GAUGAACGCUGGCGGCGUGCCUAAUACAUGCAAGUCGAGCGAACAGACGAGGAGCUUGCUCCUCUGACGUUAGCGGCGGACGGGCGAGUAACACGUGGAUAACCUCCCUAUAAGACUGGGAUACCUUCGGGAAACCGGAGCUAUUACCGGAUAAUAUAUUGACCCGCAUGGUUCAAUAGUGAAAGACGGUUUUGCUGUCAUUUAUAGUUGGAUCCGCGCCGCAUUAGCUAGUUGGUAAGGUAACGGCUUACCAAGGCGACGAUGCGUAGCCGACCUGAGAGGGUGAUCGGCCACACUAGAACUGAGACACGGUCCAGACUCCUACGGGAGGCAGCAGUAGGGAAUCUUCCGCAAUGGGCGAAAGCCUGACGGAGCAACGCCGCGUGAGUGAUGAAGGUCUUCGGAUCGUAAAACUCUGUUAUUAGGGAAGAACAAAUGUGUAAGUAACUAUGCACGUCUUGACGGUACCUAAUCAGAAAGCCACGGCUAACUACGUG
rnacentral:rRNA from 1 species